GAUGAAGAACGCAGCGAAAUGCGAUAAGUAAUGUGAAUUGCAGAAUUCAGUGAAUCAUCGAAUCUUUGAACGCACAUUGCGCCCGCCAGUAUUCUGGCGGGCAUGCCUGUCCGAGCGUCAUUUCAACCCUCGAACCCCUCCGGGGGGUCGGCGUUGGGGACCUCGGGAGCCCCUAAGACGGGAUCCCGGCCCCGAAAUACAGUGGCGGUCUCGCCGCAGCCUCUCCUGCGCAGUAGUUUGCACAACUCGCACCGGGAGCGCGGCGCGUCCACGUCCGUAAAACACCCAACUUCUGAAAUGUUGACCUCGGAUCAGGUAGGAAUACCCGCUGAACUUAAGCAUAUCAAUAAGCGGAGG
rnacentral:misc_RNA from 1 species